AGAGUUUGAUCCUGGCUCAGAACGAACGCUGGCGGCAGGCUUAACACAUGCAAGUCGAGCGCCCGCAAGGGGAGCGGCAGACGGGUGAGUAACGCGUGGGAAUCUACCGUGCCCUACGGAAUAGCUCCGGGAAACUGGAAUUAAUACCGUAUACGCCCUACGGGGGAAAGAUUUAUCGGGGUAUGAUGAGCCCGCGUUGGAUUAGCUAGUUGGUGGGGUAAAGGCCUACCAAGGCGACGAUCCAUAGCUGGUCUGAGAGGAUGAUCAGCCACAUUGGGACUGAGACACGGCCCAAACUCCUACGGGAGGCGGCAGUGGGGAAUAUUGGACAAUGGGCGCAAGCCUGAUCCAGCCAUGCCGCGUGAGUGAUGAAGGUCUUAGGAUUGUAAAGCUCUUUCACCGGUGAAGAUAAUGACGGUAACCGGAGAAGAAGCCCCGGCUAACUUCGUG
rnacentral:rRNA from 1 species